UGCAGUCGAACGCUUCUUUUUCCACCGGAGCUUGCUCCACCGGAAAAAGAGGAGUGGCGAACGGGUGAGUAACACGUGGGUAACCUGCCCAUCAGAAGGGGAUAACACUUGGAAACAGGUGCUAAUACCGUAUAACAAUCGAAACCGCAUGGUUUUGAUUUGAAAGGCGCUUUCGGGUGUCGCUGAUGGAUGGACCCGCGGUGCAUUAGCUAGUUGGUGAGGUAACGGCUCACCAAGGCGACGAUGCAUAGCCGACCUGAGAGGGUGAUCGGCCACAUUGGGACUGAGACACGGCCCAAACUCCUACGGGAGGCAGCAGUAGGGAAUCUUCGGCAAUGGACGAAAGUCUGACCGAGCAACGCCGCGUGAGUGAAGAAGGUUUUCGGAUCGUAAAACUCUGUUGUUAGAGAAGAACAAGGAUGAGAGUAACUGUUCAUCCCUUGACGGUAUCUAACCAGAAAGCCACGGCUAACUACGUGCCAGCAGCCGCGGUAAUACGUAGGUGGCAAGCGUUGUCCGGAUUUAUUGGGCGUAAAGCGAGCGCAGGCGGUUUCUUAAGUCUGAUGUGAAAGCCCCCGGCUCAACCGGGGAGGGUCAUUGGAAACUGGGAGACUUGAGUGCAGAAGAGGAGAGUGGAAUUCCAUGUGUAGCGGUGAAAUGCGUAGAUAUAUGGAGGAACACCAGUGGCGAAGGCGGCUCUCUGGUCUGUAACUGACGCUGAGGCUCGAAAGCGUGGGGAGCAAACAGGAUUAGAUACCCUGGUAGUCCACGCCGUAAACGAUGAGUGCUAAGUGUUGGAGGGUUUCCGCCCUUCAGUGCUGCAGCUAACGCAUUAAGCACUCCGCCUGGGGAGUACGACCGCAAGGUUGAAACUCAAAGGAAUUGACGGGGGCCCGCACAAGCGGUGGAGCAUGUGGUU
rnacentral:rRNA from 1 species